rnacentral:rRNA from 1 species
CGGAGGGUGCAAGCGUUAUCCGGAUUCACUGGGUUUAAAGGGUGCGUAGGCGGGCAGGUAAGUCAGUGGUGAAAUCCUAGAGCUUAACUCUAGAACUGCCAUUGAUACUAUCUGUCUUGAAUAUUGUGGAGGUAAGCGGAAUAUGUCAUGUAGCGGUGAAAUGCUUAGAUAUGACAUAGAACACCUAUUGCGAAGGCAGCUUACUACGCAUAUAUUGACGCUGAGGCACGAAAGCGUGGGGAUCAAACAGGAUUAGAUACCCUGGUAGUCCACGCCCUAAACGAUGAUUACUCGACAUUAGCGAUACACAGUUAGUGUCUGAGCGAAAGCAUUAAGUAAUCCACCUGGGAAGUACGACCGCAAGGUUG